rnacentral:rRNA from 1 species
CCUACGGGAGGCAGCAGUGAGGAAUAUUGGUCAAUGGACGAGAGUCUGAACCAGCCAAGUAGCGUGAAGGAUGACUGCCCUAUGGGUUGUAAACUUCUUUUAUAAAGGAAUAAAACGAGGCACGUGUGCCUUUUUGCAUGUACUUUAUGAAUAAGGAUCGGCUAACUCCGUUCCAGCAGCCGCGGUAAUACGGAGGAUCCGAGCGUUGUCCGGAUUUAUUGGGUUUAAAGGGAGCGUAGAUGGGUUGUUAAGUCAGUUGUGGAAGUUUGCGGCUCAACCGUAAAAUUGCAAUUGAUACUGGCAGUCUAGAGUACAGUUGAGGUAGGCGGAAUUCGUGGUGUAGCGGUGAAAUGCUUAGAUAUCACGAAGAACCCCGAUUGCGAAGGCAGCUUACUAAACUGUGACUGACAUUGAUGCUCGAAAGUGUGGGUAUCAAACAGGAUUAGAUACCCCAGUAGUC